ensembl:rRNA 5S_rRNA 5S ribosomal RNA
AUCUAUGGCCAUACAUAGUGAACAUUGCCCUAUCUCAUCCGAUCAUGAUUGGGUCUGGUUAGUACUAGAAUGGGAGACCACCUGGGAAUACUGAGUACAGUAGGCU